GGCUCCAUAGUGUAGUGGUUAGCACUUCUGCCUUGCACACAUAAGGUCCUGUGUUCACACCCCAGGUGGAGCCA
rnacentral:tRNA from 1 species